rnacentral:rRNA from 1 species
GAUGAACGCUGGCGGCGUGCCUAAUACAUGCAAGUAGAACGCUGAAGGAGGAGCUUGCUCUUCUGGAUGAGUUGCGAACGGGUGAGUAACGCGUAGGUAACCUGCCUGGUAGCGGGGGAUAACUAUUGGAAACGAUAGCUAAUACCGCAUGACAACAGUUAUUGCAUGAUAACUGUUUAAAAGGGGCAACUGCUCCACUACCAGAUGGACCUGCGUUGUAUUAGCUAGUUGGUGAGGUAACGGCUCACCAAGGCGACGAUACAUAGCCGACCUGCGAGGGUGGUCGGCCACACUGGGACUGAGACACGGCCCAGACUCCUACGGGAGGCAGCAGUAGGGAAUCUUCGGCCAUGGACGGAAGUCUGACCGAGCAACGCCGCGUGAGUGAAGAAGGUUUUCGGAUCGUAAAGCUCUGUUGUAAGAGAAGAACGAGUGUGAGAGUGGAAAGUUCACACUGUGACGGUAUCUUACCAGAAAGGGACGGCUAACUACGUG